UAUGCGCAAUAUUGAGGUUGGCUCUUCAUGAUAUUUAAAAGGCACAAAAUCUUCAAACUUCCUGGUCGGAUAAGAACAGAGGCUUAGAGCAAACAAGACCAAUUGUUAUGAUUUUGAUUAUUUAUUAAUUUGAAGAAAUCUGUUGACCUAAAUAUCUGUAUUUUACUACAAACACUGACAAAGGAGGAAAAUGGAGAAUGUGGCUUUACUCGGGGACAAUGAGGAAAUAUCACAUGUGGCUUUACUCGGGGACAAUGAGGAAAUAUCACAUGUGGCUUUACUCGGGGACAAUGAGGAAAUAUCACAUGGUAAGACAUCAAUCUCACACCUUUGACAACUUUGUUU